rnacentral:ncRNA from 1 species
AGAGCUAAUACGUGCAACAAACCCCGACUUUUGGGAGGGGCGCAUUUAUUAGAUAAAAGGCUGACGUGGGCUCUGCUCGCUGAUCCGAUGAUUCAUGAUAACUCGACGGAUCGCAUGGCCUUUUGGCCGGCGACGCAUCAUUCAAAUUUCUGCCCUAUCAACUUUCGAUGGUAGGAUAGGGGCCUACCAUGGUGGUGACGGGUGACGGAGAAUUAGG